rnacentral:tmRNA from 1 species
GGGGUUGACCGGAUUUGACAGCGGGCUGAAAUGGUACGUAAGCACGCGGAGCGCUGUCUGCCUGCUCCUUAAUCUCGGUGGUCAAUAAGUUUAUCUGGCGAAAAUAAAUACGCUCUCGCUGCCUAACCGAAGAAUAGUAGGUUCUUGGCUUAAUCCAUUCACAAGGUGAAAGGACGAGACACUACCCGGUUGCUCUUGUUCCGAAGCGUUCCGAAAUGGUAGUGCGGUAAUAUCGGAAAUAGUCUUGUUGGGCCUCGACAAUAAGAUGAAAACUUAGAGGAUAAGGUUGUAACCGGUGGCUGAGGUCUUGUUGCAGCACGAAAAUCCAGACUCAGAUAAGCGUGUAGAAAGCGUAUGGUUUCCCUGUUUGGACGAGGGUUCGACUCCCUCCAGCUCCAC